rnacentral:lncRNA from 1 species
ACACACCUCUCCUCUGCGAUUCACGAUUCCACCACACUCUCUCUCCUCUGAUACUCAAAAAACCGCAUCACUAGAGAAAGAUUGUUCAUUUUCCUGUUUUGUGCCAUUUUUCGCCACCACAACUUCCAACAAAAACACCCCACACUUCACUCGCAUGUUCUCGGAGCUCCGGCUCCAUUAACGGAGCCUCUGCUCUCCUUCAUAUAUCUAUAUAUAUAUAUAUAUAUAUAUAUACACACAAAUUAUUCUGGGUCGUCUUUUCUUUUCUUCAGAUCUCGAAAGGAACUGUUAGUGCGAUAAUGUCGAAACCAUGGGCAAAGAUUGGGGCUUGGGCCGAGGAAGCUGAGUUAGCCGAAGCCGAGGAGAAAGAGCAAGCGGACGCAGCAGCCGCGGCCGCUGCCUCCG